UGCCUAACACAUGCAAGUCGAACGGCAGCACAGCAGAGCUUGCUCUGUGGGUGGCGAGUGGCGGACGGGUGAGUAAUGCAUCGGGACCUACCCAGACGUGGGGGAUAACCUCGGGAAACCGGGACUAAUACCGCAUACGUCCUACGGGAGAAAGCGGGGGAUCUUCGGACCUCGCGCGGUUGGACGGACCGAUGUGCGAUUAGCUAGUUGGUAGGGUAAAGGCCUACCAAGGCGACGAUCGCUAGCUGGUCUGAGAGGAUGAUCAGCCACACUGGGACUGAGACACGGCCCAGACUCCUACGGGAGGCAGCAGUGGGGAAUUUUGGACAAUGGGGGCAACCCUGAUCCAGCAAUGCCGCGUGUGUGAAGAAGGCCUUCGGGUUGUAAAGCAC
rnacentral:rRNA from 1 species